GAACUGGCACUUCUCACUGGAGCCCACGGCAAAGUUUUGACCGAUCCAUUGUCCGGUCCUUGUUGACUUUUACGCGUUCCAAAAACGACUCGGUGCGACGGCUUUUCUGCUCGAUUUGAAAAGUUAUCUGUAAAUGAAGCCGCGGUCGCCAGAGAAAAGACGCACAAAAGUUGAGAACAUGCGCCGCACUGGAGCGCAGCCGUCGGAGAUCAUUGUCCAGAAUCAGAAGUGAGAGACGGCAUUCGUACCGACUACAAGAAAACCUAAAGUUUCAGCUGCCAUCACUUAACCCUUCUGCCGUAAACGCGUCCAGCAUUCUGUUGUAAAUAAGUAAAGUAAAGAAAGCGAGAAGGCGUGUAAAUCGGUCUCCUCUGAUUCCAACUACAGCACACAAGGUCCGCUCAUCAAGUUUGUUUGCAGAGUUGUGUCUGUCAGAAAGAGGCUCGCCGCGGUGGAUGUCAUCCGCCUGCGCUCUUCUCCGUGCGCGUCUCACUGGUCCAGCACGCUUUCGUCCCGGCAGGCGGGGUGGAGAGCGCACCAGUCAAGACCACGGCGCUGACUGGAAGACUCAGAGGAGCUGGAAUGAUGGCUCGUCUGCGCGCGUCUGGCGUGGAGAGGGGGAAACACUAACCCUCUCGCCCAACUUCGGUCUGCGGAGGCGAACGAGAAGCGCAAAGGCGCAGGCAGCUUUCUAAACCGAUGACUGGGACAUGGAGGCCUGUGGAUUGGACCCAAUUCCAGCGCUCUGGAGACAGAUCCCCUGUCAGCAAGGUCUCUGAGGAAUGCUCUAUGAGGUGGACCCAAACUUCUGGAACUUAGUGUAUCAAGCCCCCGUCAGCAAGAGGCAAAAUAACUCAUAAUGAUGUCAAAUUUCUCUGCUGCUGGAGCAGAGAGGUGCUGGAGUAAUUGUAAACUCAGAGGUACCGUUAGGUAAAUUCUCAGCAAGCGAAACAAAUGAGGACUUUGGUUUUCUUCAAAACAAAGAGGCACAAAUCUGUGCUCUCCCUCCAGAAGCUCAUUGCUCAAAACAAGUGAAACCAACAGGCCCGUUCCUCAGUGACAUCACUAGUGGAAUUUAAGAGCAGGACAGUUGGAGGAGGAAAACCCCAAAAAAAAAAACGUCUUUAGACACAUUAAAUAGGUUUUGCCGCCACGGCAACAGAGGUGACUCGCGUUAGCUACGUAGGCUCUGGUUCACUGUGGUCUUUGCACACAGGUCUGCUGGAUGACAUGUGGGAAUGUAGCUGGAGUCUCUCACAAGUCACAAAUCUAGACAUUAUUCCCAUGGCCGGCUCCCAUUAUGACUCAGUGUGACUAAUCCUUCAAUCUUGACUUAGCUCGACACAUCGAGCGAUGGACUCACGCUGGCCAGUGUAAUGGAGUCACCUGUUGACAGCUGAUCUUGGAGCAACAGUGUUUUAAUGCAGACUGGUCACGAUGACAGGAUCCA
rnacentral:lncRNA from 1 species